rnacentral:sRNA from 1 species
AGCUCAGUUGGUAGAGCAGUUGACUUUUAAUCAAUUGGUCGCAGGUUCGAAUCCUGCACGACCCACCAAUUUCAGCAUUUAACUCAGAUGCUGAACGUGAAGGAUAACGUUGCGUCAGCAACGGCCCGAAGGGCGAGGCAAAGCCGAGUCAUCCUGCACGACCUACCA